CUGCCAAGCUAGGGUGUGGAGCCUGAAUCCUAACCCUCCGAGGCGUCUUAGGCUCCCCUGCGGGUGAGAGACUGCACUUUCCAGAGCUGGAGACGCAAGCGUGGGAACAGUUAGGUUUCUCGGUAAAAUAAUCCUGCGACUUUAAGGGACAACCGAGGUCAGAGAAGACUUUCUCCCAGGCCUGAGACCAGUGUCCCAAACCUCACAGCGUGCUCCGGGUGCCCCCGAGUUCACAUGGGUGACCCGGUUUGC